rnacentral:lncRNA from 1 species
GCACAAAGGAGAAUUUGCCUCUAUGCUUCCUGGUUCCUGGCAGCGGUCCUCCUCAUGGAGUCAUGGAGGAGCUGUUCCAGGAUCGUUGGCAGGGCAGAGGCAGGCCUUGCAUCUUCCGAUACUGGUGAGAGUACUAUGUGAAGAAGCAAGUAGUGUUCUUUUAUGUGACUGCAGUGUGCGGAAGCAGCAACAAUGAGAGUCAAGCUAAUUUACUCCCAUGUGAGUGAGUCCAGUGUGCUUGUCGUGAAUGACAGCUGGGCCCUGAUGGAUGUCAAGUGGUUGCAAGAGCUCCAAGGCAGGAACCUUCUUCUAGGCAAAAGCAACCUAAGACGUUGUCCACAGAUGCCUACAGGAGAAAAUCCAAAUUCCUUAACAUGGGUACAUACCUCCUUCACAAGUUUGCACUGUAUCCUGCUUCAGCAUCAUUUUUUUUGCCAAACCCGACUUGCACUCCCAUUCUCCAGCCACACCAAGCUAUUUGCCAAAUGGGCCCAGUGUUUAUAAACCUCAGCCUGGAAUGUCCUUCCAUGCCCUGGUUAACGCUUACUCAUGUUACACGACCCAACUGAAGCUCUUCUUGGCCCUCCACACCUUUUUGUGGAGUGCUGUGUCUCCUGCUUUGUGGCCCUCUGUACCUGUAAAUACUUCCAUAGUUGUACCAAUAACGUCUCUUUUUCUCUGGCUGUUUACAUAUCUGACAGUCCUUCUGUCUAUAAGUUCUUUUGAGGCAAGGCCGGUUUUUUUCCAGCUUUGUAUGUCCACUGCAGAUGCUCAAUUAAUGUUUUCUUAAAAUUAAUAAAUUAAAAAGUUGAAUGACUGGUUAAUUAGUUGUUCCCAAUUCUCAACUUUCUCAUAUUAAUGGAAGCUUUUUAGGGCUUUAUUUUUGUUUGUUUGUAAGU